rnacentral:rRNA from 1 species
UACGGAGGGUGCGAGCGUUAUCCGGAAUUACUGGGUUUAAAGGGUGCGUAGGCGGCCAAGUAAGUCAGGAGUGAAAGUUUGCGGCUCAACCGUAAAAUUGCUUUUGAUAACUGCUUUAGCUAGAAUCAGGAUGAGGUUAGCGGAAUGUGGCAUGUAGCGGUGAAAUGCAUAGAUAUGCCAUAGAACACCAAUUGCGAAGGCAGCUGGCUAGACCUGUAUUGACGCUGAGGCACGAAAGCGUGGGGAGCGAACAGG